rnacentral:rRNA from 1 species
CAGGCAGUUGGUGAGGCAAUGGCUCACCAAGCCUUUUACCGGUGCGGGCCGUGAGGGCGGGAGCCCGGAGAUGGGCACUGAGACAAGGGCCCAGGCCCCACGGGGCGCAGCAGUCGCGAAAACUUUGCAAUACACGAAAGUGUGACAGGGCUAUCCCGAGUGCCAUCCGCUGAGGAAGGCUUUUACCCAGUAUAAAUAGCUGGGAGAAUAAGGAGAGGGCAAGUCUGGUGUCAGCCGCCGCGGUAAUACCAGCUCUCCGAGUAGUGUGGACGUUUAUUGGGCCUAAAGCAUCCGUAGCUUGCUAGAUAAGUCCUCUGUUAAAUCCACCGAUUCAAUCGUUGGAUUGCGGGGGAUACUGUUUGGCUAGGGGACGGGAGAGGUCGACGGUAUUUCCGGGGUAGGGGUGAAAUCCUAUAAUCCCGGGAAGACCACCAGUGGCGAAGGCUGUCGACUAGAACGCGCCCGACGGUGAGGGAUGAAAGCUGGGGGAGCGAACCGGAUUAGAUACCCGGGUAGUCCCAGCUGUAAACGAUGCAGGCUAGGUGUUUGGGCGGCCACGAGCCGCCCUAGUGCCGCAGGGAAGCUGUUAAGCCUGCCGCCUGGGGAGUACGGCCGCAAGGCUGAAACUUAAAGGAAUUGGCGGGGGAGCACCACAAGGGGUGAAGCUUGCGGUUUAAUUGGAGCAACGCCGGAAAUCUCACCGGGAUCGACAGCAGUAUGAAGGCCAGAUUAAAGGUCUUGCUAGACGAGCUGAGAGGAGGUGCAUGGCCGUCGCCAGUUCGUGCCGUGAGGUGUCCUGUUAAGUCAGGCAACGAUCGAGACCCGCGUCCUCUGUUGCUACUGGUUUUGUGCCAGGCACACUGAGGAGACCGCCGCUGAUAAAGCGGAGGAAGGAGCGGGCCACGGCAGGUCAGUAUGCCCCGAAUAUCCCGGGCCACACGCGAGCUGCAAUGGCAGGUACAAUGGGUUCCGACCUCGUAAGGGGAAGGCAAUCUCGAAAGCCUGCCGUAGUUGGGAUCGAGGGUUGAAACUCACCCUCGUGAACAUGGAAUCCCUAGUAAUCGCGUGUCACUAGCGCGCGGUGAAUACGUCCCUGCUCCUUGCACACACCGCCCGUCGUUCCACCCGAGCGACUCCUGGGUGAGGCGUGGUCUUCCUUGGCUGCGUCGAAUCUGGGUUUCGCAAGGGGGGAAAAGUCGUAACAAGGUG